rnacentral:lncRNA from 1 species
UUUUUUUUUUUUUCUUUUUUUUUACUGCUCAAUACAUGCCCACAAAUGAUUGCAAAAAUGCUGCAUUGGUUUGGGGGCUACAAACACAUUUUAGCGAUUAGGCCAAUUGGCAAAUAUGGAAUCAAUGAAUAGGGAGGGUCAAUGGUACUUUGAUACACAUCCUAUCUCCCUAAUAAUUGCAUUAAAUACUUUUUAUCUCUACUUCAUGGCUUUAUAAGUUCCGACAGAGAAUAGUGAGUUGAUCACACAGUCACAUAACAGGGACUAGAAUUUAGCAGACCUCAUUUAUUGAUGGGAAGAUGGCUCCAAGGGGCUGGUAGAUAUGAGCCAGGCUGACCAAGUUGAACCCUUAUCUAAUUGAGCCUAUAGAUGGCAUCAAGCUCUUCAGAGCUUUCCUCUUCAUCCAUGCCCAUCACUUGAUCACUACAAACUGCUUUACAGUAAAAGAUCUGUCUGGCCACAUAAGUGCUGUGGUUUGUUCCUUACGUCUGUUUCCUGGAGAGUGGGUUUUUCAUCCAGCGAGUCACCUUUGUCUGGACUCGGGCCAAUACGUGCAAAGAGAAAAAAUCCUGAAUUCUCUAUCCAACUUCCAACCAGUGACUUGUAACCUGGGUCAUCUGCUUUAUCCUAAGAGUGUGAUAGCAGCUGGCAAGGGCAAUAACAUAAAGAUAAGGCCGGACUCACACAUCUCUUCCUGUCAACAGGCCUGGCACCCUGUUCAUUUUUAUUCCUGCAUAAGUAAAUCAAUUCUCUCUGGCUGAGUUCCUUGUGGCAGCCUCUGUGAAGUUGUGGGGAAGGUUAAUCACUCAAUAUCCAUUCUGGAGACAGUGGGAUUUUAUACAUUUGCUUCCUUUUCUUUAAAUGGAGCUAUUUGCCAUAAGAUAAAUCUUUAAAAUCAGAAAUACAGCUUCUGGGGAGUUGGCCUUAUGGAGGUUGCUGCUGGCAGACAGACAUAUUUCACCCUGGCUUCAUCGUCUCGUGUCCCAGGAAUGGAGAAGUAGCUCAUUUGGAAGGAAGCGGUGUGGAUGAGGGGUGGUAGUCCUAGAGCAGAGUAGGAAUGCUCACAGACAUCUAACUGCUGUUAAAUAUAAAGGCCUAAUAAGAAUUGUUAAAACUGCCAAGGGAACAGUGGAGGAGAAAGGAGACAUCUGACUCACCUAAUCAACCCCAGAGAUGAGUCGACGCAGCGCCUCAAAUCCAAAUGUCGCUAGAAAAACAAGCUCAAGCUCUUUCUACAAACAGUACUCAGGGUUAUGGCUCCUGCUCAUGAAUUCUACAUUAGUUGGGGAGAGGGCCAAGCCAUUUGUUACCCCUCCUUCUGAUUUACCCUUAUUACACAUUUGCUGGUGCAAAUAAUGACAUUUAAAAAUUAUACACGUUGAGUGUAAUAAAAACAAAAUCCAGCCCUCAUUUCCAAAAGAGCUGAUCACCUUACCGAAAGGAGCAAUAAAUCUAAGAGGCACCAGCAAGAUGAAUCAUCAUUUCUGGGCAGGUUAUAGGGCUCCAAAGCAUCAUUCCUAUUCUGCACUGUGAUUAUCUCACCAUAAUCAUACCCCUGUGUUACAUUAUUGCUCAUAAUAAAAGUCCACAUAUUGGAGAGGAAGAGCCUUUUUUAAAAGCAUCUUCAAGAAGGAUUAGACAUUAUUUGAAAUACAGGCAAGAGCGAACCUAACAGGAGCCCAACUUAUAUGUCACAUUCAACAGUUGGAAAGCAGGCUAAUAGUCAUGAAGGGGAAAAAGUCAGGAAACUGCUACAUUCUGCCAUCUCCAUAAUUAAACAAUAAAGCUACUUUAUCACUUCACACAGACAUUGUAAAUACUAAAUUAAGAAGCUCCGGUGAAAUGUCAGAAGCAUUUUCUUAUGAGUUUAUAUCAGCCAUGUGAUUAUCGCAUUGAUUCUGCAUGCCAAUGAGAUAACAUUCCACUGUGUUUAUUUUUCUCCCAAUUGCCUUCCAGAAAGUAAUAAAAUUAAAUCCAAUAUGAUAUUAAAUGUAAAUAUGCAUGGAUAUUAUAUGUAAACACCCAUUUUAAACUCUCUAUGCUUUUUGAUAUUUUCUGAGCAUAAUGUUGUCAAGCAACAGGAAUAUCCUUGUCCCCUCAUGGCCCACCCUCACUUCUAGUACCGAGAGAGGGAACACCCUUUGUAACUCCACUUGACAUUUGUUUCAUGAUCUGUGCAAAAGAAAAUACCAAAAAAAAAAAAAAAACCCUGCUUUUAAAAGUUACUGAGCUAAGAGUUUAUUAGUUAAGAAAGUUUGACUUCUGGCGUUGAUACUUUGAAUGGGUGUAUGCUGUAGGUUUCAUCACAUGCCUUCACUUCUGUUCAUGUUAAUUUUAUUUGCCCUUAAAUGUGUCACUUCAUGUUAAUUGGAUAAUUAAAACAGUUGCACUCAUCUGACUGCAGAUUGAAAUGUCCAGCUAGGACUCUGUCUUUGAGACUUAAACAUCAACAAGAGCUUUCUCUUUGCAGAAAACAAGGAUGAAGGGACUGGCCACCUUUGGACCCAACAGAGGAAUCUGAUCGAAAGGACCCUAUGCAAGAAUCUGACUCAGAAGGUACAUGGAAAUUGGUCAGAUGUGGUUGCCCCAGAUCAAAGCAACCAUGGGUAUCACAGGGUUCACAGAAGAGGGGCGUCCAACACAAAUCAAUGACUUUAAAGAUGCUGUAAUUGAGUUCCCACCAUGGCUAAGGGGUUAAUCAACCCGAGUAGGAACCAUGACGUUGUGGGUUGGAUCUCCGGCCUCGCUCAGUGGGUUAAGGACCUGGCAUUGCUGUGGCUGCUGUGUAGGCCGGCAGCUGAUCCGAGCCUCGUCUGCAACCUACACCACAGCUCACGGCAACACCAGAUCGUUAACCCACUGAGCAAGGGCAGGGAUCGAUCCCGCAACCUCAUGGUUCCUAGUCGGAUUCGUUAACCACUGUACCACGAUGGGAACUCCAAGUCUUCAUUUCUUAGAGCAGUUUUAGGUUUAUAGCAAAACUGAGGAAAAGGUAGAGUUUUUCCCAUUUUAUUCUCUGUCUCCCACAGCCCAGAGAGAUUUGCCGCCCGAGUGUUACGUUUGUUGCAAUUGAUGAACUUACAUGGACACAUUAUGAUUUCCCAGAGUCCAUAGUUUCCAUUAGAGUUCACUCUUGGUGUUGGACCUUCUAUGAGUUUGGACAGAUGUAUAAUGAUGUGUAUCCACAUUAGAGUAUCACACAGAGUAGUUUCAUCACCCUAAAAAUCCUCCAUGCUCCCGCUAUUCACCCCUCCCUCUCCCUUAACUCUUGGCAGCUGCUGGGUGUUUUUUUUUGUUUUUUUUUUUAUUGUCUCUGUUCAUUCUGCCUUUUCUAGAAUGUCAUAUCGUUGGAAUAAUACAGUAUGUAUAAUGGGGCCUUUUGCAGUUAUUUCUUUUGUGGAAACAUCACUGACAAUACUUUGGAUAAAAGCUCCUGCCACAUUUUUAUGGGUGGGUCUAACACUACAGUAGCUAGAAUUGAAGGGAAAGUUUCAUUUUUCCAACAGAUUGUUUCUGCGACAUAAUACGGUGAUGAGAAGCCAGGGUGAUUCUUUUUCUCUUUUCCUCCCAAUUAACUACACUUUGGACAGAAAGAAUAGAUUUCCCAGGAGUCAUAUUUAGAUGAUGUUACAGAUGAAUAAGGAACUCCCACUUCUCCCCUCUCUCCAGGUAUGACGGGCUGUACUAAAAGUGAGCCUGGCCAGCCUGCUGACAAAUAGCUUCCCUUUACAAGGUGGCUGGCUGUAUGCCAAACAAAAACAGAAAAAGAUUUUAUAUACAUAAUAUUAUGUAUUUUAUAAUAAUAUCUACACACAUGUAAUGUAUACAGAGAGAAUACACACAUAUAUACUAUAUACAUAUAUAAUGUAUACUGUGUGUGUGUGUGUGUGUGUGUAUGUGUGUAGAGAGAGAUGUGUAUGUGUGCAUGCGGUUGAGUGUUUGAAUAUAAUUUAAGGGUCUCAUGUGUCUCUGGUCCCACGGUCAUAAAUCUCUAAACAAGUCAGGAAAUCCAAUUACAUGUGGACAGAGAUGGCACUGAUUUUCAGUAUCCUUCUUUCAGGGGCUCUACAAUCAUGUUGCAUCUUUAGGGGAAGUCAUUUGAAGCCAUCUUGGUUAUGUUUUGUUACAAGUAUGACUUUUGACAUUGUGUGUUCAUUUCAGGUGGUUGUGACUUAGGGGUUCUAGAAGGCAUUGCUGAUGCUACAGUGCAGCACCUUUUCAAGCCUUUGGCCAAGGUAAGUUCACCGGAGGUGGCAUCUUUGCCACUUAAAGAGGAAACGUCGAAGGAGCUGAGGCAGCAUUUCCUCAAAGUCCCUCAUUGAGGAAGUUAGGAUGGGCUUGGGCCUCUCCAAGGGCCUCUAGGUCAUAGGAUCAGCUGCCUAGAAGGCCUGUGCUGCAAAGAAACUCCAUGCAGCCGAGUCGGGGUCACUUCUUGGCUCUGACCAGGUCUGUGUGAGGCCACGCAGUGCCUUCCUGCUGCACACCAUAACUCAGGGUUACAUGGUAACAUGCCCGGACUUGGCCCUGCCUCCGGCUAUAUCCAAACUCUCCUUUCUAACUCACAUCAUAGUUGGAUCACAGUGAACAUGGUGGAGCAUUUGGAAACUCCUCACUCUUACCUCACCCUUUGCUGAGAGACAGAAAGUAAUACAGUCCUGAGGAGCUGGGUGGUCAGUUUGCUUCCAGAUUCCCUUAUUUGGACCAAGCCUGACUUGCAAAAAAUGUGUUAUGUUGGCUUUGUUGUCACUCCCAUCUCUCUUUCUCUCCUCAACCCAGAAUUCUGCAAUUUACUCGUCUCAAGCACUGUAACAGGUCUACAACUGAGAUGCUAGCCAGUUAACUUGUUCUCAACGUUGUACCAAAUUACAACUUUGACUACUUUUUACUGGUCUUUCCGAAUCCAUUGUUGGCUCUUCUGGCAUCAUAUAGAGAAGUCUUUAUUACCAGGCAAAGAACAGUUUUCUAUAAGUUCAGUGGAGUUGAAUCAAAGACAAAUUCCUUUCUUCAAACUUCUAAUUUCCAUCUCAAAGAACAUGUGAGUCUGUCCAAAGAUAAAUUUAAGAUUUUAAAGUUAUUUCACAUUAGUGAAAACAACUUGGAGCAAUAAUCGUUUGAGAUGAUCUGUCAAAAAAAUGUCAACUCUAAAAAAAAAAUUACCAGCCACUCACAGAAGAAAAUCAUAUUCACACAUGUGCUGAAAUUUAGAAUGAAAAAUUUUGUUUGGCACCAUUUUAAGGAAGCAUCGAGGGAGAGGAAAUGUGAAGAUGUAUCUUUGUUUGUUGAAAGAGAAUAUUUCCAUUUUUUAAAACCAUGAAUAUCUUAAAGAUACAGCUCUGAUUAGCCAUGCUGGGUAUUGUGGCAUAUUCAAUCAAUCUCAUAGCACAUUCAUUUUGCUAGAUCUUAUCUAACUGCCUGAAGAAAAGCAAGGUUCGCAUUGUUGCUGCCUUUUAGUUUUGAUCAAAAUAUCAAAGGGUAUUUCAGCCUGAAUUAGUUAUCUUAAUUGAUAUGAUGCACAGCAAAAUAUAUUGAUCAGGCAGGAAUUGGUCCCAGAUCAAUUGUCCUUUUGAAAACAAUAUUUACAUUUAGAAAGGCCCUAGGAAACUCAAUGAAUACAAAGGUUCCAAUUAAUUUCCCCUUCACAAUGGCAAUUAGUUGGGUUCCUUGUACCUGGAGUUGUACUCAAUUCAUCUGCAGUCUCUGAGAGACUUCAUAAGGUUCUUCCUCGAAGCACAUCUGAGAGGCAAGUAGGUGCCGGAGAUGGUGCUGCCCAUUGCUUUAGCACAUUAGCAGAUGGAGAGAACUGAGUCACAAGCCAGUUGGGUGAUUUGGCAAAAACCACGGCCUCUACAGUGAUUACUGCCAUCCCAGAAUAGCGUUCUCAACUCCCACUUUCCAUCUGUUCUUUAAAGAGAUUUUGGGAGCCAAUUAUCUGUUCUUUUGUAGGAAGAAGCUAUUGAUUCUAUUACUAGGGAGAGAGCUGGGCCUCAGCAAAGUUGGCCUAGAUGUCCCGCCUCCUGC